GGUCCUAUAGCUCAGCUGGAUAGAGCAACAGAUUUCUAAUCUGUAGGUCUUUGGUUCGAAUCCAAAUGGGAUCACUA
rnacentral:tRNA from 1 species